UAAUUUGUCUUUGCCAAAUGGCUGGCCAUAAAUUUCAAGUUAAUAAAACGAGUUUUGCCCUCUUCUAAUAACGGAAAUUUGUCACACGCCAUCCUGACAGUUCUGUGUCACCGGAAGUAUGUAAGUCCUGUGAUCCCAUCCAUCCCUCUGCCGCAAAAUAAAACUGGCAAGUGCCGCUGAUGACAUUGUGGCCAACUUUUGCCAGGGAAAAUUAUGCCCAAAGUUUUUCCACCCAACCCUCCACAUACAUACAUAGAUUGAUGGAAAACUGGUAGGGUUAAUCAAUGGCCAGGCCGCACGCACCGAACAGCUCGGAAUUCGAUUAGAGGCGAUGUCAGCAAGGCGCUCGCUCGCCUCAAGUGUCACUUGCAAUUACCCAGGGGCGCGGGCUGGAAGGGGUCCAAAGUGCAUUCAAAUUGGCUUAAACUAAGAACGUUAAGCGUGCAGCUGUCUAAUUGUAUUUGCCACCAGCGCCUUUCCGCCAACCCUUUGGCGCCCCAAAAGUAAUGUGAAAGUGCUAGGGAACUUCAAGAUUUAUUAGCAUCAAGAUUAAAGCAUUAAAAAUUUGCAGACUGUUUUUGCCUCACGCAGACAUUACGGGCAAAAUUUAGUGGGUGGUUGGGGGGCGUGGCAGCUGCCCUCUCAUUUUUUGGUCGAGAAGGGGGUAAGGGGAUGGCCGGAGCUGCCGUGGAAAGUGAGUGCAAUUUUCCUUCGCUGGUCUACAUCAUCAAUUUAGCCUUCUAACCACUUCUCCAUUUGGUAUACCCUGUAAAAUAGAUGAUGAUUUAGUAUGUUUGCAAUCGAAAGUUUAAUAAAUUAAUAAUUAAGUAAAUAAGUCUAAUUCACUGAAUUAUGAAGAGCAGUAUUUUUGUUUUUUGUAGUUAUUCUGCUUGGAAGCAGAACAUUCCUGCUAUUUAAUAUAAAUCACUUAAAAGGGUAUUGCACAAUUCGAUGACCCUAAUAUCUGGUGUUACGCCCGCUGUUGUUGUUGCGGUUUCAUGGGCAUGAGGCUGCCGAUGCGGAUGAGGAUUCGGAUGAAGCUGCUCCUGCUUUUGCUUUCCCAUCGCUGCUGGCUGUUUCCGCAGCAGGAGUGGCGCAAAAAUAUCAGGCACAACAACAUCGCCUCGGAUGGCAGCAACAACUAUAGCCCGUUUCAUUGCGCACUUUGUCGGUCAAAACUUUCGACAUUAGCACUUAAUUUACUGGCCCAACUUAAUGAAGUCUACACUUGGCUAAUUUACGCGAAAAGCUUCAGCUACUUAAGAGGAACAUUCAUCGCGGCCCAAGCCCCAUAACCUCCACUCUGGUUAAAGUUUUCCAU
ensembl:ncRNA lncRNA:CR45316 long non-coding RNA:CR45316